UGCAAGUCGAGCGAUCUGUAGCAAUACAGAGAGCGGCGGAAGGGUGAGUAACACGUAGAAAUCUACCUCGACGGAGGGAACAACCCCGCGAAAGUGGGGCUAAUACCCAAAAGGAUCGCAAGAUCAGAGUCGAAAGGCCUGUCGAGAGGAGUCUGCGGCCCAUCAGCUAGUUGGUGAGGUAAUAGCUUACCAAGGCUACGACGGGUAGGGGGUCUGAGAGGACGUCCCCCCACACUGGAACUGAAACACGGUCCAGACGCCUACGGGUGGCAGCAGGGAGGAAUAUUGGACAAUGGGGGAAACCCCGAUCCAGCAACGCCGCGUGAGGGAUGAAGGCCUUCGGGUCGUAAACCUCUUUUAAGGGAGACGAGAAAGGACGGUAUCCCUGGAAUAAGUCACGGCUAACUACGUGCCAGCAGCCGCGGUAAUACGUAGGUGACGAGCGUUAUCCGGAUUUACUGGGCGUAAAGCGCUUGUAGGUGGCCUCGUAAGUUGGGCGUGAAAACACCGGGCUUAACUCGGUGACGCCGUCCAAUACUGCAAGGCUGGAGGAUGUCAGAGGAAGGUGGAAUUCCUGGUGUAGUGGUGAAAUGCGUAGAUAUCAGGAGGAACACCCGUGGCGAAGGCGGCCUUCUGGGGCAUUCCUGACACUGAGAAGCGAAAGCUAGGGGAGCAAACAGGAUUAGAAACCCUGGUAGUC
rnacentral:rRNA from 1 species